CGUAGGUGGCAAGCGUUGUCCGGAUUUACUGGGCGUAAAGAGCGCGCAGGCGGCCAAGUCAGUCGAAUGUGAAAGCCCCCGGCUCAACUGGGGAGGGUCAUUCGAUACUGCUCGGCUCGAAGACAGGAGAGGGAAGUGGAAUUCCCGGUGUAGUGGUGAAAUGCGUAGAUAUCGGGAGGAACACCAGUGGCGAAGGCGACUUUCUGGCCUGUUCUUGACGCUGAGGCGCGAAAGCUAGGGGAGCAAACGGGAUUAGAUACCCCGGUAGUCCUAGCCGUAAACGAUGGAUACUAGGUGUUGGUGGUAUCAACCCCGCCAGUGCCGUAGCUAACGCAUUAAGUAUCCCGCCGUGGGGAGUACGGCCGCAAGGCUA
rnacentral:rRNA from 1 species